rnacentral:rRNA from 1 species
UACGUAGGGUGCAAGCGUUGUCCGGAAUUAUUGGGCGUAAAGAGCUCGUAGGCGGUUUGUUGCGUCGGCUGUGAAAUCCCGAGGCUCAACCUCGGGUCUGCAGUCGAUACGAGCAAACUAGAGUGUUGCAGGGGAGACUGGAAUUCCUGGUGUAGCGGUGAAAUGACGCAGAUAUCAGGAGGAACACCGGUGGCGAAGGCGGGUCUCUGGGCAACAACUGACGCUGGAGGAGCGAAAGCCGUGGGGAGCGAACAGGA